AGGAAGGGACGGCUAACUCUGUGCCAGCAGCCGCGGUAAUACAGAGGUCCCAAGCGUUGUUCGGAUUUACUGGGCGUAAAGAGUGCGUAGGCGGCUAGAAAAGUUUGGUGUGAAAUCUUCGGGCUUAACCCGGAAACUGCACUGAAAACUAUCUGGCUAGAGGAUCGGAGAGGAGAUUGGAAUUCUCGGUGUAGCAGUGAAAUGCGUAGAUAUCGAGAGGAACACCAGUUGCGAAGGCGGAUCUCUGGACGGUUUCUGACGCUGAGGCACGAAAGCUGGGGUAGCGAAGAGGAUUAGAUACCCUCGUAGUCCCAGCCGUAAACGGUGCACACUUGCUGUGGGCGGAUUCGACCCCGUCCGUGGCGAAGCUAACGCGAUAAGUGUGCCGCCUGGGGAGUACGGUCGCAAGAUUAAAACUCAAAGAAAUUGACGGGGGCCUGCACAAGCGGUGGAGUAUGUGGCUUAAUUCGAUGCAACGCGAAGAACCUUACCUGGCCUUGAUCACCCUUUUCUUCGGAACUGCUACACAGGUGCUGCAUGGCUGUCGUCAGCUCGUGUCGUGAGAUGUUGGGUUAAGUCCCGCAACGAGCGCAACCCUCGUGUUCUGUUGCCACCCGGAGUUAAAUCCGGAGCACUCUGGACAGACUGCCUGGUUUCAACUAGGAGGAAGGUGAGGAUGACGUCAAGUCAGUAUGGCCCUUACGGCCAGGGCUGCACACGUACUACAAUGCCUGAUAUAAUGGGAAGCAAGACCGCGAGGUGGAGCAAAUCCUCAAAAUCAGGCCCAGUUCAGAUUGUAGGCUGCAACUCGCCUACAUGAAGGAGGAAUCGCUAGUAAUGCCGUAUCAGCUACGACGGCGUGAAUACGUUCCCAGGCCUUGUACACACCGCCCGUCACAUCAUGAAAGUCGAUUGUACCCGAAGUCACUGAGUUAACUUGCAAAAGAAACAGGUGCCGAAGGUAUGGUUGGUAAUUGGGAUGAAGUCGUAACAAGGUAGCCGUAGGGGAACCUGUGGCUG
rnacentral:rRNA from 1 species